UUGGAAACUGAACAUUCUCUCUCUUCCUCACGCGUCCGAAACCGACGGAAACUGGGCAAUCCUUCGCCGGCGUCUAUCUUCCAAUUCCGGCCACCUCUGGACGAGCAACCACGUCCAUCAGCUUCGCCUCACUCCUCCGAAGCCAUCUGUGGCAACCUUGCACGGCGGCACGGCCCCUAGCGGCGGCGGCGGCGGCCCGGUUUCGAUUUAAGCUCGAUUUUGGUCAACGCCGGUUUUCUCCUAGCUCCGGCCACCAAAACUUCCGAUCCUUGGCUCCAUGAACUCCCCUCAACCUGCUGAUCAUCAUACUAGGAGGAUUGCACCUAGAGUGACCGGUUUCACGUUCGUCGGAGCUCGUGGGUUCCCCUUGAUGUUAUUAACAACUCUCUAGAAGGCAUCGAGGCCUGAAAUUGAAGCUUUGACGUCGAAAUCGAGCCUUGCCGGAUUCUGCAAAAUUCUGGAAUUUUUCCGACCUCCGAAGCUUUCGAUCGGUAUAUCUCGAGCUACAGACCAUAUUUUUCUGUGAUUCUUGAACCAGUGAGUUCUUCUUGAGUUUCUUAACAACUCUUCAGAAGGAAUCGAAGCCUUAAAUUGACGUUUUUACGUCGAAUUGGAGCUCGCCGUUUUCUGCAGUUUCUCGCCGGUUUCUGGAAAAUUCCGGCCACCUUCAUACUGUUCAAGGUAAUUUUCGACCCCUUCCGGUCAUUUUCAGACUUCGUGCUAGUUAUGAAAGUUGUUAAGCAUGAUGAGAGGAAGAAGAGCAGCCCGGCCCCGACACCAUUGGCGGUGGUCGGCGGCGGCUCUGCCACUAACUCCGGCGGCCCUUUCCGGCCACCUCCGGGGAUCAAAAAUAUGGUUUCUGUACAUUUUCAGAUUCUAUAUUUCAAUACGAUCAUUUUGAUAUAUUAUGCGCAAUUUUUGGAUAUCGUAUGAUGAAGUUAUGAAUUUUUAAGUUUCGAUCGAUUUCGAUCGUUAGAUUUGUGAUAUGUGAAGUUAGGACCGUCAGAUGGACUUGUAGUUUUGAUAUGAUGAUCUUAUGACUGUCCCAGUGGCUUUGUGUGGUCAUGGGCGAAGAUCCGACCGUUGGAUCUUCGUAUAAUUGAGAAAUGGUGAUUCGGAAGGCGAUUCGUGAGAAUCCGACCGUCAGAUUUUCAUAUAAUUUUGUGGAGAUGUUUGUAAGGAUGAUUCGAGAAGAUCUGACCGUUGGAUCUUCAUUAUAAUUUUGGAGGAUGAUCCUAAGGGCGAUCCGUGAGGAUCUGACCGUUGGAUCAUCAUUAAAUUAAGAUUCGACCGUCGGAUCAUCAUAUAAUUAGAAUCCGACCGUUGGAUUUCAGUAUAUGUGUGGUUUAUGAGUAAUUUACUAAGUCAAGAUAGUAUCUGAUUAGGUGAUUGACGAAUCGAGUUGGUGGACGAUUCAGAUGGAUAUGUGGCUUUUAGAAGACGCAGCUGGAAUUGGAGCGGGUAAUCCUACAGGACAGGAGAACCAGGACGGUGAUCGUGCGGUUAAAGCAAUUGUUAGAGUUUUACAGCAAUUGUAAGUUGUGAGGUGUGUUAUGCUCAUUUGAGCUUUACAAUAUUGCUUGUGAGAGUGGAUUGUAAUAAUGAACUCGAAGUUUCGAGAUUUGGAUUUUUGUAAUUGUAAUUAUUCAUGUUUCGGAUUUGAAUUUAUUAUUCAAAAU